AAGACCCAAAAAUUUAUUUAUCAUGUAUAGCUUCAACAUAUAAAAAAAAAAAAAAAUCAUCACCAACCCUUAUGGCAUUAAACAUCACGUGGAUCUGUCUCAAAAUCAUCAUGAUUUCUUUACUUGUGUUGAUGCAUAAACAUUUAGGCCGAUGGGUAUGGGGCUCGUCCCCCCUGGCCGUCCUUGAUCAAAGCCCCGUCGCCCCACCCCCCUGCUCCGUCCAAAUCCGCUGCCCCGGCUCCUCCGUCCAAAUUCCGACGGUGGCGACGAGCCACUCUCCCACACAUACACCUCUACAUACAUACAUAUAUAUAUAUAAAGGGGUUCAUCCCCCACCCCCUAGGUUCAUCCCCUUUAGGACUAUCCCACGUGGCGGUGACGUGACGGAUGAUCCCUUUGGAACCAUACCGGGUGGUCUUACGAGGCAUGGCCAUUGAUUUAAAAAAAAAUAAUAAUAAUAAAUAAACAAAUCUAAAACCAAUUAGUUGAGUAUCCAAACAUCAGACCAAACACGCACACCACCAUUUCUCUUUGUCUGCUCUCUCUUUCAUUUCCUUGUGAGAAAACCCUAUUUUCCCAUUCAUUUUGCAGUCGACACCCCCCUCUAAUUUCCUCCCAAAUUCUUCUGGCUUCAUCUUUUUGAGGAACCCUAAAUCAUCUACUUCAAAUCACAACCAAACCCCUCCUUAUCAUCUCAUUUCCACUCUCUCUUUGCGUUUUCUUUGGAGAAACACAGCCAAAUGCCCCCAACCUCUCGAUCCUCCCUCUCGACUGCAUACAAACGAGCACACACUUAUGCUUCCUGCUCCAUCUUCUUCUCAAACGACAACCGGAGCACCUCCAGUCGGCCACCGGCCUCCUUUGUGUUCACCGACAACCGCAACACCACCUUUGUUCAGUUAGAUCGAGGUGACGAGAAAGAGAUUGGAGAUGGCAGAGGAUUGAUGUCGCAGGAGAGGAGAGGCGGAGGAAGAAAGAGGUCCGACAGGGUGCCGCUGCUCACGGCAACGGCAAUGGAGGCGGCGGUGGUGGUUAUUUUCCGAUGAAUUUCACCGGUUUGGUGCAGUACAUAUGUAGAUCAGGUUCGAGUUUUAUUUGGGUGUUUCGAGUCAACGGGUCAAAGUUUGGUUCGGAUUCGUGACAGGAGCGGUUCGGGUCCAGGUCAACAGUUAAGGCAGUCAAGAUUCGGUCAAGUGAGUUCGAAUUUUGGUUCGGACUUGUUUUUGUGUGGUUCAACUCGGUUGACUCGGUCAAACCGAGUCAACACAGUCAACGAGAGGUCAAACGCAGUCAACACGAAAGACCGGUAAAGUGUUAAGAGUAGCGGGUUAUUCUUCUUGAAAGUUUAUAGAUUUUUAGACUACGCGAAGCCGAGCUCGACCCGUUUCGACUAGAUAUUAGUUACAUUUUUGUUUAUAAAGUUGAUAAAACUUAUAUUUAGUUGAUUAUAUUGAUUGAAUUGUUGUUGAAAUU